UUACGGCCAUAUCACAUAAAAAACACCGGUUCCCGUACGCUCGUCGAAGUUAUGCGAUGUUGAGAUUGGUCAGUGUCUCGAGGGGUGACCACGUGGGAGUACCAGGUGCUGUAAG